UUACCUAGACUCACAAGGUUCUUAAAUUGCUGUGGUACUUCAUUUAUACAAAGGUAUUGUACAUGAUCUNAAUUUCGAAUGCUAAAAGAAUGGAAAUUUAAAAAAAAACUUUUUUAAAAAUAAAAAUUGAAUUUUUUUUAAUUUGUGCAAAAACAAUUAUAUUUAUUAAAGACAAGAAGACCCUAAGAAUUUAAGAUUUUACAAUUAAAAAGUUUUUUUUUUAAAAUCUUGAUGGGGGCGAUCAAAAAAUAUUAAUAACUUUUUAAAAUUUAAAUUGAUCUAUUAUUAAUAAACUAAUGAAUUAAAUACUCUAGGGAUAACAGCGUAAUAAUUUUUGAUAGAUCUUAUUGACAAAAUAGUUUGCGACCUCGAUGUUGGAUUAGGAUUCUUUUUUAAUGAAAAAGUUAAAAAAAAAAGUUUGUUCAACUUUUAAAUUCCUACUUGAUCUGA
rnacentral:rRNA from 1 species